GACGAACGCUGGCGGCGUGCUUAACACAUGCAAGUCGAACGGAAAGGCCCUGCUUUUGUGGGGUGCUCGAGUGGCGAACGGGUGAGUAACACGUGAGUAACCUGCCCUUGACUUUGGGAUAACUUCAGGAAACUGGGGCUAAUACCGGAUAGGAGCUCCUGCUGCAUGGUGGGGGUUGGAAAGUUUCGGCGGUUGGGGAUGGACUCGCGGCUUAUCAGCUUGUUGGUGGGGUAGUGGCUUACCAAGGCUUUGACGGGUAGCCGGCCUGAGAGGGUGACCGGCCGUAGGGGGUGGGAGGUGCGGCGACGGGUGGGAGGGGAGGAGGGAGGGGGGAGGAUGGCACGCGGGGGGGAAGCCUGAUGCGGCAACGCGGGGGGGGGGAGGAGGGGCGGGGGUGUGUAGACCGGUUGUGCGUGUGACGAGGUGGGAGGGACGGAAAGGGGUAGAGACGCACCGGCAAACUACGCGACAGCGGCCGCGGGAAGAGACGGAAGAGAACACGUCUGACU
rnacentral:rRNA from 1 species